GACGAACGCUGGCGGCGUGCUUAACACAUGCAAGUCGAGCGGAAAGGCCACUUCGGUGGUACUCGAGCGGCGAACGGGUGAGUAACACGUGAGUAAUCUGCCCUUCACUCUGGGAUAGCCACCGGAAACGGUGAUUAAUACCGGAUACGACCACUCCACGCAUGUGGUGGUGGUGGAAACUUUUUUGGGUGGGGGAUGUGCUCGCGGCCUAUCAGCUUGUUGGUGGGGUAAUGGCCUACCAAGGCUUCGACGGGUAGCCGGCCUGAGAGGGUGACCGGCCACACUGGGACUGAGACACGGCCCAGACUCCUACGGGAGGCAGCAGUGGGGAAUAUUGGACAAUGGGCGAAAGCCUGAUCCAGCAACGCCGCGUGAGGGAUGACGGCCUUCGGGUUGUAAACCUCUUUCACCUCUGACGAAGCGCAAGUGACGGUAAGGGGAGAAGAAGGACCGGCCAACUACGUGCCAGCCGCCGCGGUAAGAC
rnacentral:rRNA from 1 species